AGAAAACACAUACCUCAUCAGAUGAAAAACAGAGCUUUGCGUGAGAAGAAUGAAGAUGAGAGAGAGUGUGUCGUCGUCAAUGGAGCAAAUAAGGAAGAGGAGAGAGAGCGGGUGUCAUCGUCGUUAAUUGAGCGAAGAAGGAAGAGGAAAAAGUGAGGGCAUCGUUGCGUCCUCGAUGGAGUAAAGAAUGAGGAUAAGAGAGAGGGCAUCAUCAUCGGUGGAGUGAUAAAGAAG
rnacentral:lncRNA from 1 species